UGAACGCUGGCGGUAUGCCUAACACAUGCAAGUCGUACGAGAGUUUUUAACUCUAGUGGCGGACGGGUGAGUAACACGUGAGAAUUUGCCUUUAGGAGGGGGAUAACAAUUGGAAACGAAUGCUAAUACCCCAUAUGCUUUCGAGUGAAAUGGUUUUUCCGCCUAAAGAGAAGCUUGCGGCUGAUUAGCUUGUUGGUGAGGUAAUGGCUCACCAAGGCGACGAUCAGUAUCUGGUUUGAGAGGACGAUCAGACACACUGGAACUGAGACACGGUCCAGACUCCUACGGGAGGCAGCAGUGGGGAAUUUUCCGCAAUGGGCGAAAGCCUGACGGAGCAAUACCGCGUGAGGGAUGACGGCCUAUGGGUUGUAAACCUCUUUUUUCAGGGAGGAAUCAAUGACGUGUACCUGAAGAAUAAGCAUCGGCUAACUCC
rnacentral:rRNA from 1 species